AUUGAACGCUGGCGGCAUGCUUUACACAUGCAAGUCGAACGGUAGCGCGGGCUUCGGCCUGGCGGCGAGUGGCGAACGGGUGAGUAAUGCAUCGGAACGUGCCCAGUAGUGGGGGAUAGCCCGGCGAAAGCCGGAUUAAUACCGCAUACGACCUGAGGGUGAAAGCGGGGGACCGAAAGGCCUCGCGCUAUUGGAGCGGCCGAUGUCGGAUUAGCUAGUUGGUGGGGUAAAGGCUUACCAAGGCGACGAUCCGUAGCUGGUCUGAGAGGACGACCAGCCACACUGGGACUGAGACACGGCCCAGACUCCUACGGGAGGCAGCAGUGGGGAAUUUUGGACAAUGGGGGCAACCCUGAUCCAGCCAUGCCGCGUGCGGGAAGAAGGCCUUCGGGUUGUAAACUGCUUUUGUUCGGGAAGAAAUCCUCUGGGCUAAUACCCCGGGGGGAUGACGGUACCGGAAGAAUAAGCACCGGCUAACUACGUG
rnacentral:rRNA from 1 species